GUUGUCUCUCUUGAGUGGAUCCUGAGUACGACGGAGCACGUGAAAUUCCGUCGGAAUCUGGGAGGACCAUCUCCUAAGGCUAAAUACUCUCUAGUGACCGAUAGUGAACCAGUACCGUGAGGGAAAGGUGAAAAGCACCCCGGAAGGGGAGUGAAAUAGAACCUGAAACCGUGUGCUUACAAGUAGUCAGAGCCCGUUAAUGGGUGAUGGCGUGCCUUUUGUAGAAUGAACCGGCGAGUUACGAUUUGAUGCAAGGUUAAGCAGUAAAUGUGGAGCCGUAGCGAAAGCGAGUCUGAAUAGGGCGUUUAGUAUUUGGUCGUAGACCCGAAACCAGGUGAUCUACCCUUGGUCAGGUUGAAGUUCAGGUAACACUGAAUGGAGGACCGAACCGACUUACGUUGAAAAGUGAGCGGAUGAACUGAGGGUAGCGGAGAAAUUCCAAUCGAACCUGGAGAUAGCUGGUUCUCUCCGAAAUAGCUUUAGGGCUAGCCUCAAGUGAUGAUUAUUGGAGGUAGAGCACUGUUUGGACGAGGGGCCCCUCUCGGGUUACCGAAUUCAGACAAACUCCGAAUGCCAAUUAAUUUAACUUGGGAGUCAGAACAUGGGUGAUAAGGUCCGUGUUCGAAAGGGAAACAGCCCAGACCACCAGCUAAGGUCCCAAAAUAUAUGUUAAGUGGAAAAGGAUGUGGCGUUGCCCAGACAACUAGGAUGUUGGCUUAGAAGCAGCCAUCAUUUAAAGAGUGCGUAAUAGCUCACUAGUCGAGUGACACUGCGCCGAAAAUGUACCGGGGCUAAACAUAUUACCGAAGCUGUGGAUUGUCCUUUGGACAAUGGUAGGAGAGCGUUCUAAGGGCGUUGAAGCAUGAUCGUAAGGACAUGUGGAGCGCUUAGAAGUGAGAAUGCCGGUGUGAGUAGCGAAAGACGGGUGAGAAUCCCGUCCACCGAUUGACUAAGGUUUCCAGAGGAAGGCUCGUCCGCUCUGGGUUAGUCGGGUCCUAAGCUGAGGCCGACAGGCGUAGGCGAUGGAUAACAGGUUGAUAUUCCUGUACCACCUAUA
rnacentral:rRNA from 1 species